AUUGAACGCUGGCGGCAUGCUUUACACAUGCAAGUCGAACGGUAACAGGCCGCAAGGUGCUGACGAGUGGCGAACGGGUGAGUAAUGCAUCGGAACGUGCCCAGUCGUGGGGGAUAACGCAGCGAAAGCUGUGCUAAUACCGCAUACGAUCUAUGGAUGAAAGCGGGGGACCGUAAGGCCUCGCGCGAUUGGAGCGGCCGAUGUCAGAUUAGGUGGUUGGUGGGGUAAAGGCCCACCAAGCCAACGAUCUGUAGCGGGUCUGAGAGGACGACCGGACACACUGGGACUGAGACACGGCCCAGACUCCGACGGGAGGCAGCAGUGGGGAAUUUUGGCCAAUGAGCGCAAGCCUGAUCCAGCAAUGCCUCGUGCAGGAAGAAGGCCUUCGGGUUGUAAACUGCUUUUGUACGGAACGAAACGGUCUGGGUUAAUACCCUGGGCUAAUGACGGUACCGUAAGAAUAAGCACCGGCUAACUACGUGCCAGCCGCCGCCGUAAGAC
rnacentral:rRNA from 1 species